rnacentral:rRNA from 1 species
AUUGAACGCUAGCGGGAUGCUUUACACAUGCAAGUCGAACGAGUGGCGGACGGGUGAGUAAUAUAUCGGAACGUACCGAGUAGUGGGGGAUAACCAAUCGAAAGAUUGGCUAAUACCGCAUAUUAUUCGAGCGGACGAUAUCUGAUUAGCUAGUUGGUGGGGUAAAGGCAUACCAAGGCCACGAUCAGUAGCUGGUUUGAGAGGAGGAACUGCCACACUGCGACUGAUACACGGCCCAGACUCCUACGGGGGGCAGCAGUGGGGAAUUUUGGACAAUGGAGGAAACCCUGAUCCAGCCAUCCCGCGUGUGUGAGAAGGCCUUCGGGUUGUAAAGUACUUUUGUUAGGGAAGCGGUAUCAACAGAAUAAGCACCGGCUAACUACGUGCCAGCCGCCGCGGUAAUAC